UGAGACCUUCCUGCAGGGCCACAGCAAGCAAAGGGUUUACAAUUUGUUUAGAUUUCGACCUCAAAUGGGAAGAUCAUAUCAUUUUCCUAAUACCUUGUGGAAUUAUCAUGAGGAUUACAAAAUCGAAUGCGUGGAAAAUAGGUCAGAUCCUAGCAUAUGAUAAGUAUGUAUUUGUUAUUAUUUUCACUCCUGUAAAAAUUCUGGGCUUCACUUGUCUGGGACCCUAUGUUUCUAUCCCUGUAUCAAUCCAGCAUCCCAAGAAUUUGUGGAAGAGGAGCAAAGGAGGAUUGGAAGUCAGAGUUACAUUAUUUAAAGAGACGGAGAUUCACUGUGUUAGCCAGGAUGGUCUCGAUCUUCUGACCUCGUGAUCUGCCCGCCUCUGCCUCUCAAAGUGCUGGGAUUACAGGUGUGAGCCACCGCGAAAGGCCUUUCACUGUCUUUUUGUGGUAUAUCAGGUCAGGCUAAACUAAAGAGAACUGAUACUGCCCAUUAGGCUUAAUACUUAAG
rnacentral:lncRNA from 1 species